UAUCAGGUGGUUCCAAGACCUUGAGAUUAGCUACUCACUAGAGCAAGAAAAGUUGAAGAGUUCAUUGGAAUUGGCCCAACAAAAAUGCACGAAAAUAGAGCUGCUGCUAAAAAUCAAGGAAGAAAAGCUAAAUUCAAUUAUUAUGGAAAUGAGAAGGAAUUGCACUCCUUUACAAGAGAAAUUGGUGAAGAAAGAAUCCGAAAAAAUAGUAUGUGAGAUUUUCAAGUCAAGUUAGUGGAAUUUCAAGGGUGAUUUUUCGGUGCAUAAUGCAAGGGAAAGGUUAAUACUUGAAAAUAAAGAUAUACUUAUUAUCUUUGAAAACACUAGGUGACAACAGAAUCUCUUCUUAAAGAGAGAGAGACUAGGCUUAACUUUGAGAUGUCACAGAGCACACUGCAGGAGGAUCUUGCACGGGCACAACGCGAGCUCCAAAGUGCAAAUCAGAAGAUAUCAUCUUUCAAUGACAUGUAUAAGCGGUUACAGGAUUACAUAACAAGCUUGUAGCAGUACAAUGGAAAACUGCAUUCAGAGCUUUGUACAGUUGGAAAUGAACUUAAGCGUGUAGAGAAAGAUAAAGCUAUUGUACUGGAGUCCCUUACCAUGUUAAAGGGUCAACUUACUUUGUCUAUGGGGGAGAAGCUCAGGAAAGAAUUGCACAAUAACAUUUUGGUAAUUCCCUGAGCCAAAGUUUACCAAUGAUGAAAAAAUAAGAUAAAAUCCACACCAUACCAAUUGGUGAAAAGUGCUGUGCUUGGUGACUUGCUCUAUGCUGAAGCUAUCCCUUUAAACGUUGGCAGAUCCAUUCGGGUUUUCAAUUUCUUUCUUUCAUCCUUUCUUCUAUUUAUUCUACACUCAUUGCUUACACAACAUGCAGAUCCAAUCAAGCUAGAACAAAACCAAACUCAUCACAUUAAAACGAAGAAACCUAUAUUAUUAACAUGUUUUGCCCCUAACUUUUCCAGUUUUAAAUCUUUUAGUAUAGAUGAUAUUUUCCAGUUUUUAUUUUUAUUAUUAUUUAUUAUUUUUGUAAUAAUAUAUAAUUAUGAAUUUUAUAUAAAGUUUGAUAGGUAUAUAUAUUUAUUGAAUGAAGUUUGCCUUUUAAACUUGGCUCCGUCCUUAAAUCACCAAUGAAGAGAAAUUUCAGUAUUCUUACUAUUCUAUUAUGUAUAAAAAAGGAAAUUUUUAAUAUUCAAUUUGAAUUUUAAACUUUUUAGGAGAGUAUUCAUGUUAAACUGUGAAUGUUCUUUCAUAUAGUUGUGAAAUAAAAUAUUACCUUUUGAUAGCAAACAAUACUGCCCAAGGGAUUUUAUCCUCUUUCUUCUUCAAAGAUUGGCGCCACCAACGUCACAUGGUUGCCCCCGCAUUCAUGGGAGACAAACUUAAGUUUUCCAGGUUUCAAUCAUUCCCUCGCUCUUGUCAUAUCUAUAUAACCUAAUUUCCAGUUUUCCAGGCACAUGCAGCUGCUGAUAAAGAGGCUGUAACAGGGAUAUAAGGAAUAUCUCUGGAACCACCUGGUACCUA